AGAGGGGUGCAAGCGUUAAUCAGAUUUACUGGGCGUAAAGCGCGCGUAGGGUGGGUAUUUAAGUCGGAUGUGAAAGCCCCAGGGCUCAACCUGGGAACUGCACCCGAUACUGGAUGCCCUAGAGUAUAGUAGAGGGAAGUGGAAUUUCCGGUGUAGCGGUGAAAUGCGUAGAUAUCGGAAAGAACACCAGUGGCGAAGGCGGCUUCCUGGACUAAUACUGACACUGAGGUGCGAAAGCGUGGGGAGCAAACAGGAUUAGAGACCCUGGUAGUCCACGCUGUCAACGAUGAGAACUAGGCGUUGGGAGGAUUUACCUCUUGGUGCCGAAGCUAACGCGUUAAGUUCUCCGCCUGGGGAGUACGGCCGCAAGGCUA
rnacentral:rRNA from 1 species